rnacentral:tRNA from 1 species
GCGGUGGUAGUUCAACGGUAGAACGUCUCCUUGCCAAGGAGAAGGUUGAGGGUUCAAAUCCCUUCCACCGCU